rnacentral:rRNA from 1 species
UACGGAGGGUGCAAGCGUUAUCCGGAUUCACUGGGUUUAAAGGGUGCGUAGGCGGGCAUGUAAGUCAGUGGUGAAAUCUCCGGGCUUAACCCGGAAAUUGCCGUUGAUACUAUGUGUCUUGAAUAUCGUUGAGGUUUGCGGAAUAUGUCAUGUAGCGGUGAAAUGCUUAGAUAUGAACAUAGAACACCAAUUGCGAAGGCAGAGAGCUAAACGAACAUUGACGCUGAGGCACGAAAGCGUGGGGAUCAAACAGG